AUACUGGUGUAAAGUGUAAGGCACAGGUGUCAAACUCAGUUCCCGGAGGGUCGCAGCCCUGCAGAGUUUAGUUCCAACCCUAAUUAAAUGCACCUUACUCAGCUAAUCGAGUCCUUAAGGUUUAUUUCAAAGUUAAAGGUAUGUUUCCUGGAGCAGGGCUGAGCCCCUUCAGGAACUGAGUUUGACACCUCUGGUGUAAGGUGUUCAAUUAUUAAUAUAUUUUUUUUCUCUCUCAUCAGGUCUUUCAAAUUUGCCUGCUCUUUAUUCCAAACCCCGACCACACAUACAGACAAACACACUCACUCACUCACUCACACACAAUAAAGGCACUUUUAAGAGCCACGUCUGUCCUGUUUACCUGUCUGUGCUGUAGUUUACUUGUCACUCUCUUUUUAGCUCUCUCUAUAUCUUUAUCUCUAUUUUCAUCUUUAUUUGUUUUAUUUGACCAUCCUUCCAGUUCUCUUAAUAGUUCCUAAAAAUCCUCUUUAUCAUAACAGUUUGUCCAUCUGUUGUUUGUUUUUGUGUAUAUUUCUUGUCUAGUCAUGACAAGGCCCAAAUUCAGGCCCUGCCCUUCUUGCCAGACUCCCAAUCAGGCAAGCAGGAAAACUUGUCAUGUCUGCUUUGGAAGCCUGUCCACCAAAAACAAAAUAAAAUAAAAAGUGGCAUCACUGGAUAGCCAGUGGGGGAAAUCUGUCCUUAAAAGCAGAAAUGCUGGGCGUAUAAUUGAUUCUGCCCGUAUUGCAGUGCAGAAACUUGAGGCUGUCGGAUACAAGCCAAUUUUAUUUAUUGGGAAACAGGACAAAAGGACUUCAAAUAAGUGGGUGGCAGAUAUUAUCACGCAUCUGCACCCCACUCCUGUCACCAAAGUGUUUUUGGAGAAGAUGCGGAGGGCUUAUGAGUUUAUCUUAACAAAAGCAACCUCCACAGCACAGCAGCCGGAGAGUGUCGCCGCGGAGCAGCCGGAGAGCCUCACCAAGCAGUCUGAAACUGUGUUUGUUCUCAAUCUUGUUCCUGUGUCUUGCUCGCUCUCUCCAACCUCUCUCUCUCCUCCUUCCUCUGCUACUUCUACAACUAUUCUUCCCUCACUUUCUUCCCCUCUUCCACCUCCACUGCGGCAAAGGAAAAGAAGGUUAAACACCUUUACCGCGUCUCUCGUACCCUGUUUCUCCUCCAUAUCCAUCUGCCUCUUCCAUUUCCAAGCCUUUGAGUCCGGAGGUGCCACUGGUAAAGAACAGAAGAAAAGGUUGUCAAAAAUGUAGUAGGCAGAAGGUUUUCCUUUUUGAUAAAAUAACUGGGGAACGAAUAAAUGAGGGGAAAGCUGAAUUGAAAGUUCACUGGUUGCCUUGCACUGUGUGUGGCAAAACCUGGGAUGACACAUGGGAGCCUGCGAGUGAAUUCCAACACAUUGUGCCAAAGUCCCCACAUCCCAACCAGCUUUCAGCAUGACAACAUAGUCACCAUAGACACCUGGACUCAUCAAGCACCCUUCAAUGCAGUUUAUUUUUGAGUGUUUUUGCUUGCUGUUUGUUCUUCAGUAAUUUUUUUGC